CGUAAAGCGCAUGCAGGUGGUUUGUUAAGUCAGAUGUGAAAGCCCGGGGCUCAACCUCGGAAUAGCAUUUGAAACUGGCAGACUAGAGUACUGUAGAGGGGGGUAGGAAUUUCAGGUGUAGCGGUGAAAUAGCGUAGAGAUCUGAAGGAAUACCGGUGGCGAAGGCGGCCCCCUGGACAGAUACUGACACUCAGAUGCGAAAGCGUGGGGAGCAAACAGGAUUAGAUACCCUGGUAG
rnacentral:rRNA from 1 species